GGCGUCACCUCAAGACCCCUGGGACCCCUGAUAAUUACAGAAAGAGUAUCCAGUUUCAUCACAAGCAUGACUUUAAAAAUGCUAUACAGAUAAAAGGUAAUGACUUGCGUUUGUGAUAUGGUGUGGUUGCUGGAAUAAAGCACAAGCACUCGUGGCUUUUCACCAUCAGUCCCAGGCAAAUAUCUCUGGUAUUAAACAAAUACAGUCUAUUUCCCACGAUCAUGCCAUUUGGAGUAUAUUACAUCUUCAAUAUGAAGUUAACAUAUUCUGCUUGAAAUGUCUUGAUUGCAUUACAUAUUCCAAAAACUCCAACCACUGCAAUAAAACUGCUACCUCAAGAAUAAUGUGACAUGAUGAUGUGACAUUUAUAUUAAAUGUGAUUUUCACCUAUUGUGUCGAGUUUUCUGAAAUUAUAACCAACUGUAAUUCCAUCGAGCUCUGGUUGCCAUGUAAACUUGGGAGUGAGCUGAAGUGAUCUGUCAUAAAUACCCCACUAUGGAAUUUAUUUGAAAUGCAUUGUAGCAUUUUUAAUAAUACAAGCUUAGCAUCAUUCA
rnacentral:sRNA from 1 species